UACGUAGGGGGCAAGCGUUGUCCGGAAUCAUUGGGCGUAAAGCGCGUGUAGGCGGUUCGGUAAGUCUGCUGUGAAAGUCCAGGGCUCAACCCUGGGAUGCCGGUGGAUACUGUCGGACUAGAGUACGGAAGAGGCGAGUGGAAUUCCCGGUGUAGCGGUGAAAUGCGCAGAUAUCGGGAGGAACACCAAUUGCGAAGGCAGCUCGCUGGGACGUUACUGACGCUGAGACGCGAAAGCGUGGGGAUCAAACAGG
rnacentral:rRNA from 1 species